ACUCAGGGGCUUCACCACUGAUUGUCCAAACGCAAUUCUUGUACGAGUCUGCGGCCAACCGAGAAUUGUGGCUGGACAUCUGUGGUUGAGCUCCGG
rnacentral:pre_miRNA from 1 species